rnacentral:rRNA from 1 species
UGGGGAAUAUUGCACAAUGGGGGAAACCCUGAUGCAGCGACGCCGCGUGAGCGAAGAAGACCUUCGGGUCGUAAAGCUCUUUUAUAUGGGAAGAUAAUGACGGUACCAUAAGAAAAAGCCCCGGCUAACUACGUGCCAGCAGCCGCGGUAAUACGUAAGGUCCGAGCGUUGUCCGGAAUCAUUGGGCGUAAAGGGUACGUAGGCGGAUAAGCAAGUUAGAAGUGAAAUCCUAUAGCUCAACUAUAGUAAGCUUUUAAAACUGCUCAUCUUGAGGUAUGGAAGGGAAAGUGGAAUUCCUAGUGUAGCGGUGAAAUGCGCAGAUAUUAGGAGGAAUACCGGUGGCGAAGGCGACUUUCUGGCCAUAAACUGACGCUGAGGUACGAAAGCGUGGGUAGCAAACAGG